UGCAGCUGACUGAGAAACUAUAAGUUUAUCUUGUUGAAUGUAAGACUGAACUUUACCACUUUUUUUAAUCCAGAAAAAAAACCCACAACUACUUUAUUGUCCCACAUAUCAUGCAAUUGCAUGUCAGCCUGUGGUGCUAACCCAGAUGAUUAAACAGAUAACAACUUUGGUAGAGCUGGCAGACUCCUUUCUUUUAAGAGAAGCUUCAUUCUUCCAGAGUAUUACAGCUCAGGGACUCUGAUGAAUAUCCUUUGUUUAAAGGUGUCACUGUUGGACCAUUUUGCAGAUUCCCCAGGUCCAUAACAGGGAUGAUCUCUGCUCCGUAGUGAAUAAGAUUACUACUAGCUGUUUGGGGAGUCCUAUGGGACUGGAAAGAGAAAUAAAAUAUAGGAGAGGAGAAGGAAGAGAAGACAAGACAAUCAUUUUGAUACUUUUUCUUUUGUCAAAAAUUGUCAGCUGUUUCAAUCUAGUGUGGAUGAAAUUGUUUUGCCAUUUACAUAUAUAAUUUAUUUGUACUGUUGAAAUCUAGUUUGUUAUUGCUUGUGUAGAAUGCAAACCCAUGGCUUGUGUACUGAGAGAAAAACAACAACCCAAAUUGUCUGCUGCUCUCAGUUGUAAUGAGACACCCAUUUUCUUCUGUAGUUUUUCUUCUCUAGAGUAAUAUGGCUGCACUCUAUAUACUGAGGGGAGUUUACAUUAUACUCUGAAAAACACUCUCUCUCCUUUUUGACCUUCUGUUUUCUCUUUCUGCUGAACCAAAUCAUUUCCUAAAAAUCUCUUCUGAUAUGAGGGAUAUCCUUUGGCUGUUGAAAAUGCUAGUUCAUUUAUAAAGGAUCUUGCAGGAUAUUAUAUACUGGUUUCAUCUGGUCAUUUCCCUCCUUCAUAAUAAGUGUUUGGUUUUUUAAAAAAUGAUUUUUACAUUUAUUAAAAAUUAUUGUUGGUUUCUUGAAAUGUAGCAGGAAAAUGUGGCUUGUAAUCCAAAUGCACGCUUGUACUUAAGUGAGUCCCACUGAAGUGAGUGGAAUUUACUCCGAGUACACAUUCUGGAAUCAGGAACUUAACGUUUAUUAGAUUUAAUGAGAUGGCAAAUAUGGAAAAAUGGAGGGAGGGGUUAUUAUGGUAUAGUUUUUUUUAAAACAAUUGAGCUAGUGUCUUCUAGAAGGGGGAUAUGUGUGCUUUAAACUUUAAAUGGUGAAUUCUCUCUUGCAAUUAUUUAAAUUUAAAUGGUGAGUUCUCUCUCUCUCUCUUUAAAUGCUUUCUUUCUGAUUUUCACAAGUACAAUAUAUUGCAUUGUUCAAAUAUCUCUGAUGUUAAUAAAGGGAAACUCUGAGCACUGUUUCCUUACUGGCUAAUAAGCCCCCAGAGGAUCAAAUUAUUUUUACUUAAAAAUGUAAAGUUAUGAAAAUCCAGCCAAAUCCUUUGAAUGUUAGAAUUAAAAAGCUGAGUAUUCAUUUUAAUUGGCUCUUAGAAACAUUUUAUAUUUCUCCUUUUGUGUUCACAAGUUCAAAGUUCUCCAUGAUGGGUUUUCUAAUGUACAUUAUGAUACUGUAACAAUGAAAUCUGCUACUCUCUUUUAAGCAGCAAGAGAAUUAAUUAUUGUAGCCUCAUUCAGAAGAUGUGGCGAUGCUUUAAGUUAACAUUCUCUAAUAGGCAUUUAAUUCUCAUUUAAUAAGACCAUUAUCACAUGAUAAACAAAUGCCGAUUGAUUAUUAAACACAUUUAUUUCAGAUUAAUAGAAAUGCCAGAUUCAGUGGUCAUUAAGCAUUAGUGAAGAGACUUUUCAUUAAUAAACUGCUAUUUAUUUGCCAUAGCAAGUGUCUUGUUCAAUCUAAAUUAAAUAUCUAUUUGGGAUCUCUAGCCUGUAGUAUUAUCAAAGGCAUCUGAGUGUUCCAUAAAAAACAUUUUCAUUUUAGAUGUGCGAGAUGCAAUCUCCAAAAAAGAGGGGGGGAAAUCAAUCCAUAUAAAAGGAGCUUUGCUGCUGCUAGAUAACUAAUUAUACAGGCAGCACCUUUGUGCUAUUCUGUACUAGCUACUCCCCCCCUCCCUUCUGUAC